AACGAACGCUGGCGGCAGGCCUAACACAUGCAAGUCGAACGAUAUAGUGGCAGACGGGUGAGUAACGCGUGGGAACGUACCUUUCACUACGGAAUAGCUCCGGGAAACUGGUGGUAAUACCGUAUACGCCCUCAGGGGGAAAGAUUUAUCGGUGAAAGAUCGGCCCGCGUUGGAUUAGCUAGUUGGUGAGGUAAUGGCUCACAAAGGCGACGAUCCAUAGCUGGUCUGAGAGGAUGAUCAGCCACACUGGGACUGAGACACGGCCCAGACUCCUACGGGAGGCAGCAGUGGGGAAUCUUGCACAAUGGGCGAAAGCCUGAUGCAGCCAUGCCGCGUGAAUGAUGAAGGCCUUAGGGUUGUAAAAUUCUUUCGUCAGGGAUGAUAAUGACCGUACCUGAAGAAGAAGCCCCGGCUAACUUCGUGCCAGCAGCCGCGGUAAUGUCUGUACU
rnacentral:rRNA from 1 species